GGGAGCUUGCUCCCAAAGAUUAGCGGCGGACGGGUGAGUAACACGUGGGCAACCUGCCUGUAAGACUGGGAUAACUUCGGGAAACCGGAGCUAAUACCGGAUAACAUAUGAGACCACAUGGUCUUGUAUUAAAAGAUGGCUUUUAGCUAUCACUUACAGAUGGGCCCGCGGCGCAUUAGCUAGUUGGUGAGGUAACGGCUCACCAAGGCGACGAUGCGUAGCCGACCUGAGAGGGUGAUCGGCCACACUGGGACUGAGACACGGCCCAGACUCCUACGGGAGGCAGCAGUAGGGAAUCUUCCGCAAUGGACGAAAGUCUGACGGAGCAACGCCGCGUGAGCGAAGAAGGUCUUCGGAUCGUAAAGCUCUGUUGUUAGGGAAGAACAAGUAUCGUUCGAAUAGGGCGGUACCUUGACGGUACCUAACCAGAAAGCCACGGCUAACUACGUGCCAGCAGCCGCGGUAAUACGUAGGUGGCAAGCGUUAUCCGGAAUUAUUGGGCGUAAAGCGCGCGCAGGCGGUCCUUUAAGUCUGAUGUGAAAGCCCACGGCUCAACCGUGGAGGGUCAUUGGAAACUGGGGCACUUGAGUGCAGAAGAGGAGAGCGGAAUUCCACGUGUAGCGGUGAAAUGCGUAGAGAUGUGGAGGAACACCAGUGGCGAAGGCGGCUCUCUGGUCUGUAACUGACGCUGAGGCGCGAAAGCGUGGGGAGCGAACAGGAUUAGAUACCCUGGUAGUCCACGCCGUAAACGAUGAGUGCUAAGUGUUAGAGGGUUUCCGCCCUUUAGUGCUGCAGCAAACGCAUUAAGCACUCCGCCUGGGGAGUACGGUCGCAAGACUGAAACUCAAAGGAAUUGACGGGGGCCCGCACAAGCGGUGGAGCAUGUGGUUUAAUUCGAAGCAACGCGAAGAACCUUACCAGGUCUUGACAUCCUCUGACACUCCUAGAGAUAGGACUUUCCCC
rnacentral:rRNA from 2 species